rnacentral:rRNA from 1 species
CGCUGGCGGCGUGCCUAACACAUGCAAGUCGAACGGGACUAUUCAGAUGAACUUUUCGGAGCGAUUCUUUAUAGUUUAGUGGCGGACGGGUGAGUAACGCGUGGAUAACCUGCCUUUCACAGGGGGAUAGCAGCUGGAAACGGCUGGUAAUACCGCAUACGCUCAAUGCACCGCAUGAUGCAAUGAGGAAAGAUUUAUCGGUGAAAGAUGGAUCCGCGUCUGAUUAGCCAGUUGGCGGGGUAACGGCCCACCAAAGCGACGAUCAGUAGCCGGCCUGAGAGGGCGGACGGCCACAUUGGGACUGAGACACGGCCCAGACUCCUACGGGAGGCAGCAGUGGGGGAUAUUGCACAAUGGGCGCAAGCCUGAUGCAGCGACGCCGCGUGAGUGAAGAAGUAUUUCGGUAUGUAAAGCUCUAUCAGCAGGGAAGAAAGGCCCUUUAGGGGAGAUGACGGUACCUGACUAAGAAGCCCCGGCUAACUACGUGCCAGCAGCCGCGGUAAUACGUAGGGGGCAAGCGUUAUCCGGAUUUACUGGGUGUAAAGGGAGCGCAGACGGAACUGCAAGUCU